CUAUACAUGACUCUGCGCAUAUCAAUAAGCGGAGGAAAAGAAACUAACAAGGAUUCCCUUAGUAACGGCGAGUGAAGCGGGAAGAGCUCAAAUUUGAAAUCUUCAAGGUUCUACCUUGACGAAUUGUAGUUUAUAGAAGUGUUUUCUGUUAGUAGAGUGGCAAAAGUUCUUUGGAAUAGGACAUCAUAGAGGGUGAGAAUCCCGUAUUUGGUCAUUCUUUCUAGCUUUGUGAUACACUUUCAACGAGUCGGAUUGUUUGGGAAUGCAGUCCAAAAUGGGUGGUAAAUUUCAUCUAAAGCUAAAUAUUGGCGAGAGACCGAUAGCGAACAAGUACCGUGAGGGAAAGAUGAAAAGAACUUUGAAAAGAGAGUUAAACAGUACGUGAAAUUGUCAAAAGGGAAGCGUUUGACACCAGUGUUGUUUAGUUGAAAAUCAAUUCAAUAGUUUUUGAUUCUAAGUAGUAUUGACUUCAUCAGCUUGCUGCUUUCUUCUCAGAAAUUAUUGAAUGCACUUUUCAGUUAACAAGUCAACAUCAAUUUCUUUUGUUGUAAAAGGGUAAUGAGGAAGGUGGCUUGCGCUUUCGGAUAAAGUGUUUAUAGCCUUGUAUCCUCUGCAAUCGGAGAGAUUGAGGUCUGCAGCGUAGAUCCUUCGGGGUUAGAUACAUUUGGUGCUAAGUUAUAGCUUGUCAUAGACAACUUGUUGACUAUGUUUAGUACAUUGUAGCUUACUCGCUGAUGCUAUUUUACCUACUCUUAGGAUGUUGACACACGCGCGUGCUCG
rnacentral:rRNA from 1 species